AUGCAGGGCAAUAUGUCUUUAAGUAGGGAUAAAUUACUCUAAAACAAAAAAGAAUCCUAGAUAGUUUCCCUUUCAAGUCAAGCAUCUUGU
rnacentral:pre_miRNA from 1 species